rnacentral:tRNA from 1 species
AAUGGGUUGGCAGAUAAAUGCAAAUAAUUUAGGAUUAUUAUAUGAAGAUUUUCACCUAUUA